rnacentral:rRNA from 1 species
UACGUAGGGGGCGAGCGUUACCCGGAAUCACGGGGCGUAAAGCGUGCGCAGGCGGCCCGUUAAGACAGGUGUGAAAUCCCUGGGCUCAACCUAGGAAUUGCGCUUGUGACUGGCGGGCUCGAGUACGGUAGAGGGGGGUGGAAUUCCUGGUGUAGCAGUGAAAUGCGUAGAGAUCAGGAGGAACACCGAUGGCGAAGGCAGCCCCCUGGGCCUGUACUGACGCUCAUGCACGAAAGCGUGGGGAGCAAACAGG